ACUCAAGAGCUCUGCGACUCUCCUGCCACCUGCCAACCCCGACCACCUCCUCCGGGCUGCAACUCCACCCCGCACCCGGGCUGCUGCUCCGGCUCCUCGGGUCUGUGCCCGCCGCCCGAGUGACCUCCCGCCGGGGCCCGGGCGGCUCGCCCUGGCCGGAGGGGCCGGAAAAGGCCGAGAGGCCUGACCUCCCGUGGGGCUUCCCUUCCUUCCUCCUGGGCAGCGCAGCCUGGAGCCAGCAGCUCUGCACCGGCCGGGCCUGCUGGGGCGAAAAGCCCCUUACCUAUCUUCACGACCGCAUCCGCCAGACACCGGUCCCACUUCCUGCCGAGCUCCGACUCAGACAUGUUCCCCACCCGCGCCUCCAGCUUUCCUCUCGGCCGGCCCCCGCGCUCCGACCCCUGAAAGUCUCGCGAGAGCUGGAAACAAGUCCCAGGUCAGGAAGGCAGGCGCAGACGCUCCAGAUAUCGCGAGAUGAUCCGCUGCUUCCAUCCCUUCCGGUUUUUUCAGUUGGUCGUCAAGGUGACGAGUUGUCUGGAGGCUCGAGGUGACCCUGACCUUGGGGCUGCGCCUAUGGGUUUGCGAGGCUGACAGUUUCCUAGGCGUCACCCCAAGCCGUGACCAGGCCUUUCCUCCUCACCAAAGUGCGACAUUGGCCCUGGAAAUCCCCCGGGCAAGAGAGGGUUGUAAAUUCAGCUUCCUUAACGUCGCAGAUUAGAAUGUUCUACACCACAGCACCUGCAUAAAUAAAGGUCUUUUAGAUGCCA
rnacentral:lncRNA from 1 species